rnacentral:rRNA from 1 species
GACGAACGCUGGCGGCGUGCUUAACACAUGCAAGUCGAACGGAAAGGCCCUGCUUUUGUGGGGUGCUCGAGUGGCGAACGGGUGAGUAACACGUGAGUAACCUGCUCUAGACUUUGGGAUAACUUCAGGAAACUGGGGCUAAUACCGGAUAGGAGCUCCUGCUGCAUGGUGGGGGUUGGAAAGUUUCGGCGGUAGGGGAUGGACUCGCGGCUUAUCAGCUUGUUGGUGGGGUAGUGGCUUACCAAGGCUUUGACGGGUAGCCGGCCUGAGAGGGUGACCGGCCACAUUGGGACUGAGAUACGGCCCAGACUCCUACGGGAGGCAGCAGUGGGGAAUAUUGCACAAUGGGCGGAAGCCUGAUGCAGCGACGCCGCGUGCGGGAUGACGGCCUUCGGGUUGUAAACCGCUUUCGCCUGUGACGAAGCGUGAGUGACGGUAAUGGGUAAAGAAGCACCGGCUAACUACGUG